rnacentral:tRNA from 1 species
GCCCAAAUAGCUCAGUUGGGAGAGCGUUAGACUAUAGAUCGAAAAGUCCCUGGUUCGAUCCCGGGAUUCGGCA